GUGUCUAUUCAUUUUUUAAAUGUUACCUGGCAGUGUUUGACUAUCACAGAAAUAAUAGACUGAGUUUGUAUAGACUGUCUGAAAUUCCUACACCAACUCCCAUAUAUACAUGGUGUUAAUAAUAAGAUUUAAUCAGUCUUAACACUAGAACUAUAAAUCUCUAUUUUGUAUUUAAUCUGUAUGAGGUUUAUUUGAACCACUUUAUAUAUAUUCAACUACUUUUGCCUAUGUACAUAAUUUCUGAUUACAUUUUGUGAAUAUAUUUUACAUUUAAAAUUUAGAGUAAAUGCUUUGUGUGAAAAUGUUUUAAAACUGUAUAAUGUUUCAAAUGUAUGUAGUUACAUUAUUUAAAACCUUCAUGAGUAUAAUAAUGAUAAUAAAUAAUUUUUGUGUUUAUGGAAAGCUGUAUUUAAAACAUUUGGCUUAUACUACUUCAGAUUUUAAAUGUAUAGAAUAUAGGAAAAGAAUAAAUUAUUUUUGUUGUUAAAAUAUUUAUCAUUAUGUAGGAUUCAUUGUGUUGGUAUGAUAGUUAAAGUUGAAUUACCUGAACAUAGUGUUAACAAAGGCCUCUUUUAAUAUAUAUAUAUAAUAUAAAAAAUAUUAUGUGUGUAUAUUAUACCAUGGUGUCAAUACAGUCUUUUUAGCUACUAAAUUAGGUGUAUAACUCAAAUAUAAGCAUAUAAAAAUGUUACUGUUUUUUGUAAAGUGUAUGCCAUAUAAAAGGCAUGUACCUUCAUUUUAUUUUUCUGGUCACUGAGAUUUGUGAUACAAUUUAUUUCUCUAAAUGAUCUAGAUAUUUCAGAAUUGCAUAGUUCUGUAUUUAUCUGACACAUGUCAAAAAUUAACUUUGUAAGUAAUAAGCUAUUUUUCAUAUCAAACAAGUGGUAAUUCUAGAAAUACUGAGACUUAGAAAUUAUAAGCUUAUAAAUAUAUUGUAAAUACUAUUGCAUAUUAUAAUUAAUAUGAUAAACUGAUAGCUUAUAGAGGGGAUCAUGGAGCUCACAGUUUUCAUAAUUGUUUGAAUGAUAGAGGAGAAAGAUAUAAACACUAUGCAUUUACUCUCUUCUCAUAGUAGGACAGUUGACCAUUACAUGUGAGUUGCACAUCAAAAACUGACAUGGCAGGUAAUUCAGUUGGCUUCUUGAGCAAUAAUGAGCCUACUGAUGCACCUCUUCUACUUUUCUCGUAAACUUUCAUGAAGAUUUUGUACUACCUCUUGGAACACUGCAAAGUUUUGUAUGUGUUUCCUUGUUGCAUGACAAUAUUCAAGACAACUUUGUAAAUAGUCAAAUACAAAAUUUUAACAUCUAGUCUUUCUAGAUGUACAGAGUGUCACAGGGUAUAAUUUUGUAAAUACAUCAUUGUAAACUGUCAUUGCAUCCACUAAAUUUCUGGGAAUGAAAUCUUUAAAUUUGAGGUUUUUUCCACUUUUGUGUUCAUUAUUUGUUAGGGGAGUGAGUUCUUUUUUUUUUUUUAAGAAUAUUUAAAUUUAACUUUGGCUACAUAUCUCAAGAAAAAUCUUCAUUAACCAUAGGAUAAGUAAGGUUUUUAUUGUACAAUUAAGAAUGCAAAUUAUAAUUGUGUGGUUGUAUUAAUGAUAGGCCAUUAUAUAAAUAUACCUUGCUAGUCAUUAUAGGAAAAAACUCUUAGAGUUACUUCUACCUCUAUGCAUUAAUAUUUAUAUAUAUUUACAUUGCAUGACAGCAUUCAAGACAAGUUGUAAAUAACUGGUAAAUAUUUCCAUUUGAAAAAUCCAUUUUGUAGAUAUACAUUCUUAACAAAAUAUAAGCUGUGAAUAUUUCAUUGUAAACUAGCAUUAAAAUUAUUCCAGCAAAUGUUUUUUUCAAUGCAAUAGAUCAGUACUACUCAGUAUAAAAAUAUUUCUAAGUUGUUCCUCAUUGAGAGAAGAAUAAGCUAGGUCUUAUUUUUACUUGGAGAAAAAUUAAAGAAAAGAAUUAGAUACUUUUUAUCUUCUAGAAGAAAGAUGAACAGUAAAAAAAAAUUAAUUUAAUUGAACAAAAUGUUUUCUUGCCUAUUUAAUCUAGGCACAUUUGCUUAUUUAUAUCUACAAUUAUCUUAAAAUCAUAACAUCUUAUUUUAUAGUAGUAUAUAAACUACUUAAUAUUUGUCUUUUGUGUGUUUAUACAUUAGUAUACCCACUUUACAAAUCAUAAAAUUAACAUUCUAGUUCUAAUUCAGAUGAUUUGGCAAUCUCAAUGCUAUUGCUAGACACAUUUUGUGUUAACGAAGAGCCUAUAUCUUUGUUUAUUUAUGUGUUUACACAUCUUUAUUUAUCCAUGUAUUUAUACAUCUUUAGUAUAUAAAAUGUUAAAACUUGUUUAAAUUUUGUAUAUUUUUUUCUAGGAUUAUUAAAGGUAAACAUCUAGUGUUCUCUCUAAUGUAUUGUAAGAAAAAUUAGCCUAUAUGACAUUAAAGGCAUUGUACAUUAUGGAGUUGGGCAUGAUGAGGAACACUUAUACCCGCACCUGCCAAGAUUAUACUCGGCUACAUACCCAGUUUGAGGCCAGCCUUGGAUCAUAAGACCCUUUGUCAGAAGAUAUGAAAGAAAAAAACCUGAAUACCUCCCUACAGAACCAGGAAUUACAAGACUGUAAUUUUUUUUUGAAAUUUUGGAGUUGGCCUCUAAGAUUUUUAUCAUUUCUUACUCUGAAAAAUUUAAUUGUUGAAUAUAAAAAUAGCAAAAUGCCAGAUCUGUCAAUGAACAGAUCAUAAGGAUUGUAGCUUAAAGUGAAUGUAAUUUAAUGCUUAUAAUAUCCUUUCUCUGUAGAAAUGUAUGUUUGUUGAAUUUUAAUUGAAGAAAAGUACAAUUUACCUACAUGUAGAUAUAUUUUAGUUCUUCCAAUUAAAGUUGGUAAUUAAGAAAAUGUUAAUUACACAUAGGUAAUAUCAGUCUGACAGUUAAUACUUCUAUAUUACAAUGUAUGUUAUUUUACAGUAAUGAUUGAAGAUUUGUUCAAGUGAUUUAGUAUAUUCAUGCUUGGAAAUUGCUACAUGAGAACAUCUAGAACGAAUGAACAAUUUAUACAAACAGAAAACAUGUUCAGGAAGAACAUUAAAGUUUUAACACUCCAAAAUAGAAAGUAAUAAGACCUCUUCUAUCUGCCUUUGUAUUUUAUGAGGGCCUUUGCAAAUAAGCAGCUAAACAACAAGAAAGAGACAAUUUAUGGCUGUACCUUUGUCAACAUCAUGGGAGUGCUGGGUUGCCAUAUCCAACUUUCUAUUCCUAGCAGCCCUUAUGAAUGGUUUUUGAACAUUUUUGUGAAGAAUUUUAGACACUCCAGCACCUUAUGUGUCAACAAUGAGUAUUGCAUUAUCCAAUGAUAAAAAGAAGAUGAAAAUUCACGUCAUUAUGAUGACAGACUCAUUAAACCUACCAUGAUAGCAACUUAUGGAGUCUACAAAAAUUUACUAAAGUGAACUGCAAAAUAUAGGUGAUCACCAAAAUCAUUGUUUCUACAAACUUCAUAAUGGUAAAAAGAUCUCAGGUGUCUGUGUGACUAGUCUUAUUGAUCAUUAAAAUUGAACCCAGCUAAUUGGAUGGAGACUGAAAUGUCUUUGAAGAAAAUAUUUUAAAAAUAUUUAAAGACUUUCAUUGAUUUUGUUGGACUAACUCAAGAAAUGGAGACACAACCACAUGGAUAUGAUGGAACUGACAUUGGCUUCAUCACAGUGUUUUCAUAAGUAUGAAGUGCUUCUCAUGAUAAUGACUUCAUCUUAAUCUUGAAGCUGAUUUGAAGUAAAUUAGAACUGAUUAUAAAUUUCCUUUUCAAAUGGUUUAACUGUGUAGCACAGUCUGACAUUUGAACUUACUUCGCCUCAGCUGCCUUUGUGGUGAGAUUAUUGAAAUGGACCAUAAGCUAACUUAGAACAGUGUUGUAUGAAGCUUUAUAUUACAUUCAUCCUAAUUUUAACAUACAGUGUUAACCAAAGUUUGUGAAAUUCUCUGGUAUAUUUUGGAGUGUUGUUUCAUACAUAUUUGUAAAUGCAUCUUACUUACAUGAGUCGAAAUAAUAGCUUUACAUUUUCUAUGUACUAAUUAUGUUUAUAUGGAAAUAUGAAGCUUACAGAGAGUUCAGAGUAAUUUGUAUUGCUUUUUCAUGUAUCAUGGCAAAUUAUAACAAAUCUACAGUUUAGUCAAUGCCCUAGUAUGAAUUCGUGGAUUUGAAUAUUAUUAGUUAAUAAAUUAUUAAAAUUACAAACACUUUAGUUUAUAGUACACUUGUAAUUACUGAUAAUGUACUAUUAUAAACUAUUUAUUUAAUAUUAUUGAAUCAUCAUGCUAUUUAUUUCUAUUUGCUGUUCUGUUUGAGUUUCCAUGCUGAGUAUCUGUUACUUAUUUAUAAACCCAUUUGUGUGUCAAUUGAAAUACUAUGUGUUUUCUAUUUAUUUUGUUUUAAUACUAGCUUGUACAUAACUUAUUCA